UUUAAAUGUCUAGUAGAUAUAUAAUUUAAUUCAUAAAGAGAACACGAAUCCAAAUACAGUGGUGGCAAUACUUCAAUUCAAAAUAUUACACAUUCCUAAUCCAUCUCAGUCGGUACAUAAUACUUAAACAAGAGUAAUUGAAAUUACUACAUGAAGACAAUGAGAGCUAACACGCGAUAGUGCUACACAUACAAAAGUUAUGUCAAAAGCCNNNNNNNNNNNUUUAUCUAAUAAUCAAGUCGAUCGUUUCCCUUUUGCAUUCGCUUCCACACUAGAAUUCGCCUUGCAUAUUCUCACGCUCACCGAAAUAUGUAGGUCUUCAUCAUCAUUUAGGUGAACUCGAGAUUCAAACAUUUUGGACAUUUCUUCAUCAUUUUCGUUCAUCGCAAGGUUUACUAAUGAAGAAUUGUCGCUAGACGAUUCACCGGGUGAUUUUUCUUUGACAACCCAAUCCCAAAAUCCGCAUUUCUCACUGCAACAGAGAAAUAAUCUCCCUUUAUUUGCUGUCUACUUCUCCACCAUGAAACACUUCUCAAAUCCAUUCUUGCAUGCCCGACAUCUGUGCUUCCUUGGGCAUUCAUCAAAGAAAUGGCCCN
rnacentral:lncRNA from 1 species